rnacentral:rRNA from 1 species
UACGUAGGUGGCAAGCGUUGUCCGGAUUUACUGGGCGUAAAGAGCGCGCAGGCGGUCGUUCAAGUCGCGUGUGAAAGCCCCCGGCUCAACUGGGGAGGGUCACGCGAUACUGAUCGACUCGAAGGCAGGAGAGGGUAGUGGAAUUCCCGGUGUAGUGGUGAAAUUCGUAGAUAUUGGGAGGAACACCGGUGGCGAAGGCGGCCACCUGGGAAGGUACUGACGCUGAGACGCGAAAGCUAGGGGAGCAAACGGG